GGACCGUGUGGAGAGUGCGGGCGCUGGACAGCAGCUCCGGCCCCUCACCGACGCGCAGCCCGCGCCUGGGCCGACCUGUUGACUGAAAAUCAGCCGGCGCUUGGCCAGAUGCGUCGAUGGAGGCCCGCAGCCCAGCGACGACGUGGUAGUCAUGGCUGAAGCGGCGCCUGCCCCGAAAUCACACUGUGGACCGUGGUGCCUGCUGUUCAGGCCUUGGAGAAGAAAAGUGGAUUCUUGCCUGGCCCGCUUGCUGACUCUGGAGGGAUGCUCAGGGACAGCAGAGAAGAAGCUGGCUGACUGUGAGAAGACAGCUGUGGAGUUCAGCAGCCAGCUGGAGGGCAAGUUGGCCGUGCUGGGGACCCUGCCUCAGGAGUCUAGGCUGCUGCAUGAAGAACCUCAUGGGCAACUGGAACUUCUGGGUCCAGCGGCUUCCCCCUGGCAACAAGGGGGAGGUCCCCAAGGUAGCCUUUGGAUACCCUGACUAGGAAGCUUAAGGGCCUGUGCCUGUAAGCAUGUAGGUGAACAAGUGGGACAUUGUGGUUUCAGGUGCCCCUGACCUUUGAUGACAUGGCUGUAUAUUUCUCUGAAUUAGAGUGGGCCAAGCUGGAGGACUGGCAGAAGAGGCUCGACAAGCAUGUGAUGGGGGCAGCUAUGAGAUGCUCGUUUCCCUGGGUGAGGCUGUGUAAGACCCCCUUUCGGGGAUCCCCACUCUAGUAUCAGGAGUGAGAGAGCACCCAAAGAAACACGAGGACCCAUCUUGCUGUAAUCACAUGAGGCAGUUUAAUGACGGAGCUCCGGACCGACAUGCAUCUCACAUAGGAGAUAAUGGAUGUCGGCCACGAGGCUCGAAAGCUAGGGUUUUUUAUGGGGUGAGGGGCUUAGGGGUGUGGGAUUCAGCAUAGCGACACACUAUUGGCUUAUUCAAACAUUAACAGAAAGAUUACAUGUCAGCAAAAGGGCAUCAGGACUUUGUUCCUGUGGGCUGGGGGCUUAUCUUUGUUCACAUAGCAACCAGUUGAUGUAUGACUUUACCCAGCGUCAAGGGGCAGUAGACAGAGGGGAGGUUCUGGCCAGGUGGUGUUGACCCAGAAGAUAGCCCUGCUUGUCCUUGCAUUUUUUUCAUUUUUACAGUCAAGCUGUUCUUAGGAAUGUCUUAACAACAGCCCUGUCUGUUCUGCUUUGUUCUCAGCCCCAGGCUGCGGGCUCAUAGACAACUCUUUUACAUGAAUCACAGGUUACAAAAUCUCAUUUUCCUUCAGCUGCAGAGGAAUACCUGGGCUUUCAUCCUACAAUGGCUUCCUGCUGUCUUUGCUUUUGCUUUAGGCAGCCAGACUCAGAUUUUUCUCCAUGCCCUCCCCAUUGUGUAUGCAGAUUAUGCCAUCUCCAAACCGGUCAUUCUCACCCAGAUAGAGAGGGGAGAAGAGCCUUGUCCUGCAGGCCCCUGGGGCCAGGAGAAGGGGGGUGAGGAGAAGACAAUAUGUCAAAGGAAACCAAACACCAGUAAGUAUUGGUACAUCCUGAGACUGCUGGGGCAAAGUGAACAACAAACUGCUUUCCUGGGUAGACUGGACCAUUUUGGAGCUGGAAAAAGCCCCUUACCCAGAGCUGGCUACACUUUGUCUGCGGCUUCUCUGAGCAGGAGUAAAGAGAAGGCUUCUCCUUAGAACUGUAAGGAUUCUCCUCUGUAUAGGAGGCACCAGCACAAAAGGGAUGGCUGUGAGGUCAGAGGUGGCAAAUGGAGAUCAAGGAUAUAAUAGGCAUCUUCUGAGUGAGUGGAUGGUCAGUUAUGGCAAAGCAUCUACUUUGUGCCACCUGCAGUGGUACCCAUGCCAUCUGCCAUCACUGUUGUUCAGCUGACAGCAGCAGGAGACUGCAGAUGCUCUUCUGCUUCUCUCUGGGAUGGAUCCUUGGGGGACAAGGCUAGGACUGCUCUGCAGCCAGUGUUUAACAAUGACUCCUCUGGGGGUUGGUGAGGAGGCUCGGUGGUUAAGAGCACUGACUGUUGUAGCAGGGAUCAUGUUCAGUUCCCAGCACACACAUGGCAACUUAGAGCUGGCCUUAACUCCAGUUUAGGUAAUCUGGUGCCCUCUUCUGGCCUCUGUGGGCAGGAGUCAUGGAUACAUGAAAGCAAAACACUCAUAUUCUCCCUUUCCCACACACAUACAAAAUUAUUUACUUAUUUUAUUUUUGGUUAUUUAAUUCAGAGUCUCACUAUUAGGGAGCUCUGACUAUCCUGGAAUUCACUAUGUAGGCCAGGCUGGCCUUGAACUCAUGGAGAUCUGCCUGUUUCUUUCUCCCAAGUGCUAGAAUUAAAGACCUGUGCCACCAUGUUGGCAAUAAAAUAACUAUAUCUUUAAAAAUAUUUAGGGCUGGUAAGAUCGCUCAGUGGUUAAGAGCACUGACUACUCUUUCGAAGGUCCUGAGUUCAAAUCCCAGCAACCACAUGGUGGCUCACAACCAUCUGUAACGAGAUCUGACGCCCUCCUCUGGAAUGUCUGAAGACAGCUACAGUGAACUUAUAUAUAACAAAGUAAAUAAAUCUUUAUAUAAAAAAAUAUUUAAACAUAACCCAAAGUAGAACAGGACAGUAAUCAUUGUCACUGAUCUUCAGGGGUGAGCUUUUGGCAAGCCUAGGUUAUAAGGUGAGACCUUGUAUCAAAGAGAGAAGAAAGGAAAAAAAAAUCAGUAAUAGAAAUGUACUACCCGUCUCUUUCUAGACAUAACCACAAUAUCAUCACCCACCCACAGAAAAUUAUCUAACACCUGGUCCUUAUUUCUGUUUUCAGUAGGAACAUGGAUCUUAACUUUAAUAACCCAAAGUCCACAUACUGCACUUGGUUUAUGUCUUUUAAAUCUAUAUAAAAAAAAAAAAA
rnacentral:lncRNA from 1 species